GGUGAUGUCCCGGAAGGUCAGCAGGAAGAGCACCACCAGGUCCCGUUCGUUGCGGAUGGGGGCCACCUGGAGCAGCAGCCAUAGCGGCGUUUCUGCGGAAUUAAUAACAAUUAUGGGGGCCACACUGAGAGUGCGCUGCACAAACCCGGGGAUAUAGUAUAGAUAAUUCGCAGUCGCAUUCGCAUUCGGGUCACGACCAUCCGACAGACUGAAGGGGAGAAGAGCAGACAUUCCAUUGGAUUGCAAUUAUUGAUAUGGAACGCUGGAUAAUGGAGGCUGGGCUCUGAAUGCUCGAUGGAUGUUGCAGCCAGACAAUGGUCGGCAUGGAAAUCACCAGAAUGCUGUGUACAGUGCACUCCAUAUGUGUGCAACAGCCGAAACUGUUUGCUCUUUGUCCGUCCGGAUGAAUAAUUCAGCAAUUGUCGCAGCAAUCGAUGGGUUUUGCAACCGAAAACGAAGCAUUUAAUUCGCACAUUGAAUUUGGAAUGGUUCACACGCGACCAGAAAAAAUGGAAACAAACAAAAACGACGACGGCGACAACAACAAAGUGGGUCACACCAACACGGAUGAUUGAGCGCCCGAAAGAGAGCGAUAGAUGCCCCCAGAGAGAGAGAGAGAGAGAGAGAGAGAGACAGAGAGAGACGGCAUUCAUGGAGGAGGAAGGAGUGAAGCGUAUCGCUAGCUAAACGGUAGAUUGGUAUUAAAAACUGGUAUUUUUUUCCCACUCGGGAAUUCAACCGGUGAUGCUGCAGAGCAGAUAAAGAGGCGUCAUCGCAGAAAAUCUAAUCAUGGCACUUCACGGCACUUCAACGGCAGACGCACACUUAUGAAACGCACUGUACUGAAUGCUGUCAAUUUGGGGACCAAUCGCAAAUCGCCCGCUGACGUCACAAGCCAAAAAAUGGAGGUAAAAUAGGAACGGAAAGUCAAGCCUCUCAGCACUCGCCUAUUUAUAAUAAAUGGAAUGUCGCCACGCCCCCUUAAUAUGCCCCUACACUCCUCUCCCCUACCCCUCCCCCUCCUCUUCGCCCCUUCGCCUCCACUUCACUCCCCGUUGCUGACACACUUGCCACAUGCCAUGGCCCCUAUUUUCCACCAUUUUCCACAAUUUUCCCCCACUCCAUUCCCCUCGUGCACCUUGCUUGCAGCACAUGAAAAACGAGAGGAGUUUUCCUGGCCGAGUGUGUGUGUGUGUGUGUGUGAGAGUGGCAAAAACCAACUACAACUAUUUUGGACGUAUAUGUGGCAGCCACUGUGGCUGAUGCACUGAAAGAAAUGCCUUCUAGAAUUGUAAAAGGGAAGUUUGUACAACAAUACAACCAUGAAUAAAUGUAAUAAACUUAUAUACUUUUCGAAAUCAAAUUGAGAGAUUCAGCUCAUUAUAAAAUGUAACAAUUUAUAAAUAUGUU